GCCCUUCCACCCUCCGGGUUCCCUCAAGCCCCAGCUCUGCCCAGGACCUCACCUGGAAUACGUGGAAGCCCACGGUGAGGGCGUGGGGCCUUCAGUUGUGGCCAAGGUAGCAGCUUAAUGGGCUUGGCCAGCAGCAGAAAAGGUGGACAGAGCUGAGGGAGGACCGGCUGCCGCUGUCAGAAUACCAAGAAAGAGGACCCCACUGGAAAUCAGACUGUUCAACUCACCUGGCAGCCACUCCCAGAGCCCCUGGAACUCUGGCCCAAGGCUCUCUGACUCACUCCUUCCCAGAUCUUCUCAGCUUAGUGGCUGAAGACUGACGCUGCCCGAUCCCCUCAGAAGUCCCAUAGACCAUUACAGACGCUGAGCUUUAAGUAACACUCACAGUGGAAGGUAAGUCUGUCCCCUUCUUUAUCAAUACGGAGGUUACCCACUCCACAUUACCUUCUUUUCAAAGGCCUGUUUCCCUUGCCUCCGUAACUGUUGUGGAUAUUGAUGGCCAGGCUUCUAAACCUCUUAAAACUCCCCAACUCUGGUGCCAACUUAGACAAUACUCAAGCACUCCUUUUUAGUCAUCCCCACCUGCCCAGUUCCCUUAUUAGGCCGAGACACUUCAAAUUAUCUGCUUCCGUGACUAUUCCUGGACUACAGCUACAUCUCAUUGCCGCCCUUCUUCCGAAUCCAAAGCCUCCUUCACAUCCUCCUCUUGUAUCCCCCCACCUUAACCCACAAGUAUAAGAUACCUCUACUCCCUCCUUGGCGACCGAUCAUGCACCCCUUACCAUCUCAUUAAAACCUAAUCACCCUUACCUCGCUCAAUGCCAAUAUCCCAUCCCACAGCACGCUUUAAAAGGAUUAAAGUCUGUUAUCACUCGCCUAUUACAGCAUGGCCUUUUAAAGCCUAUAAACUCUCCUUACAAUUCCCCCAUUUUACCUGUCCUAAAACCAGACAAGACUUACAGGUUAGUUCAGGAUCUGCGCCUUAUCAACCAAAUUGUUUUGCCUAUCCACCCCGUGGUGCCAAACCCAUAUACUCAUAUCCUCAAUACCUCCCUCCACAAUCCAUUAUUCUGUUCUAGAUCUCAAACA